GGCUUGUUGGCGUAAUGGUAAUGCAUUCUGUGUACCUAUAGCAUUCGCAUAUCGGUUGAUGGAAGGUUCGGAGUUCAAUUCUCUGUCAAGCCA